UAGAAAUAAACCACUGGCACUGGUACGGAUCCGUACUCUACUGUUACUCAAAUCGUCCCCAACGUACAUAACGGUAACAUGUAUAUCUGAGCUUGGGUAUACGAGGAAACCCAACAUCUUGGGAGGAUGGAUGAUGUUGCUAAUUUGAGUGGA
rnacentral:ribozyme from 1 species